rnacentral:rRNA from 1 species
UACGGAAGGGGCAAGCGUUGUUCGGAAUCAUUGGGCGUAAAGGGCGCGUAGGUGGUUCUGUAUGUCUACCGUGAAAGCAUACAGCUCAACUGUAUUUUGUCGGUAGAAACUGCAGGACUUGAGGCUGGGAGGGGCUGGUGGAAUUCCCUGUGUAGCGGUGAAAUGCGUAGAGAUGGGGGAGAACACUCGUGGCGAAGGCGGCCAGCUAGACCAGUUCUGACACUGAGGCGCGACAGCGUGGGGGAGCAAACAGG